GGAGAUAUAGCUCAGUUGGUAGAGUGCUUGCCUCACAUGCAUAAGGCCCUGGGUUCAAUCCCCAGCACCAUCA
rnacentral:tRNA from 1 species